rnacentral:rRNA from 1 species
ACUCCUACGGGAGGCAGCAGUGGGGAAUAUUGCACAAUGGGCGCAAGCCUGAUGCAGCCAUGCCGCGUGUGUGAAGAAGGCCUUCGGGUUGUAAAGCACUUUCAGUCGUGAGGAAGGUAGUGUAGUUAAUAGCUGCAUUAUUUGACGUUAGCGACAGAAGAAGCACCGGCUAACUCCGUGCCAGCAGCCGCGGUAAUACGGAGGGUGCGAGCGUUAAUCGGAAUUACUGGGCGUAAAGCGCAUGCAGGUGGUUGUUAAGUCAGAUGUGAAAGCCCGGGGCUCAACCUCGGAAUAGCAUUUGAAACUGGCAGACUAGAGUACUGUAGAGGGGGUAGAAUUUCAGGUGUAGCGGUGAAAUGCGUAGAGAU